rnacentral:lncRNA from 1 species
UAUUUAUUACAUUUUUAUUUUUCCUACAUGUGUGUCUCUCAGGAUUAAUUAUGCACGUGUUUUAAUCUGUGUAAUAAGAGGAGGAUGAAUACAGGUAUGAUAUUUGAAUAUAGGUGUAGCAAAUGGAAUUAUUGGCCCCCGUUCUUCACUCCUCCUUGUGUUCAAGUUCUUUCCCUUAUAACUUUGCAGUUCUUUCCACUAAAGGGCAAGUGUUUUUCCAGACUCGUUGCCUUUGGCCUCAGCUUUAUGACGUAUUCUGGCCAACAGAAUAAGAACCUAAGUUAUGUUGCCAGUUCUCAGCCGGCAUCUCAGGAGGCCUGUCUUGAUUUUUGUUUGUUCUCUUUCACUUCUGCCAAUACCAUGAGAAGAGCUUUACUGGUAUUUGCUGGAGCAGACUGAGCUUAGACUAUAAUAAGGAAGCAAGCCCAUCCAGACACAGAGAUUGAAGCAGAGUCACCCUGCCAAGUCCAGGCUAGAUCAGCUGACCCAAGCAACUCCCCAGAAUAAAUGCUAUAGAGAGUAUUUAGAUAGAGACAGCUGAAUCAUCUGACAAUAAUAAGAUAUGAAUAAUGUAUACAAAAUGCUAACAGAUCUGGUCAUUAUAUCAAAAUGAUGGGAUAAUACAUCAUGGAACCCUGAUCAAACUAGAAAAAUACAUCAUUUCUAGGGCAGCCCAGUUUACAAAAACCUGAAAUAAGUCUGCACAGUCCCAAAGUCUAUUGGAACAUGGAUCAAGGAUCAAGAAAAUGAAGGCUGGAGAGACAAAGCUGUAACAAUCAGUGCUAACAAGGAUAGAAACUUGGGAAUUAUAUUAUGAUGAUCGGCCAGAGCAGUCAUGAAGUGAGAAGUACGUAUUCUGUUAUCUAGACUCAUGGAGUAAAAGCUCUGUUCAGUCCACAGGAGAGGUUUCGCAAGAAGAGUUGACGCUGCUCCAGUCCGGUAACUGUUCCUAGACCUGUGAGUGAGAUCUUACUCGCUGAAGCGGAUCUGACCAAAGUGUUAAGACUCCACCUUAAGGGUUUAUUUUUUUUUAAUUAUCUUUUUGUAAUUUGAAUGUACUCUCCAUACAAGUUUGUGCUUAAAUCAUUGUCAGCGAAGCUUUUCUUCAUUUUGAUGAAUCACCAGUUAUAAAAAACCUUUAGUGUGUAUAUCUGGAUCUUGUGGUCCCUGUGUGACUAUUAGAAUGAAGAGACUUGAAGAAUGAAGAGUGAGCAAAGCCAGGUAAAUGGCACUUUUUCCUCAUUAAUUCAUCAGCAGGUUCUGUAGACCCUAUCUUCAAAGUUUACACCAAAUCUGUUCCCUUCUUUUCAUCACUGUUAGCAUGAUAAGUCAGAUCUGCACAGGAAGAGCCUAACGCUUCCACAUUUGCACUCCAACAAUCCAUUCUGCUAGGAGCGGCUGGUCUUGUCUUUUAUUUUCCAUUGGCUUCAUGUUAUAUUUAAAAUAAAAUCCCAGCUCCUGGUCAUAACCCAGCAGCUGCCCUGCCCCAGUGGUCUGGCCCUUGCCUGCCUCAGCAACUUCAUCUCCCACAUUUGCCACACUUCAUGUGACUAUGCUCCUCCUCCCAUAACUCAGUUUUCAGAACUCUCCAAGCUUCUUCCUUUUUGAGGGCCUUUGCAUUAAUUGUUUCCUCUGUCUUCAGUAUUUCUCCUUCUGUAAUAGGCUGCUAGGGCUGCCAUCACAAAAUGGCACAGACUGGGUGGCUGAAAACAAUAGAAAUUUAUUUUCUCACAGUUUUAGAAGCUAGAAGUCCAAGAUCAAGGUGCCAGCAGAGUUGGCUUCUGAUGAGGCCUCUCUUCCUGCUUGCAGAUGGCUGUCAUCUUCUUUUUUUUUUUUUUUGAGGAAGAUUAGCCCUGAGCUAACAUCUGCCGCCAAUCCUCCUCUUUUUGCUGAGGAAGACUGGCCCUGAGCUAACAUCCGUGCCCAUCUCCCUCAACUUUUUAUGUGUGGGACGCCUACCACAGCAUGGCUUGCGAAGUGGUACCAUAUCCGCACCUGGGAUCCUAACCAGUGAACCCUAGGCCACCAAAGUGGAACAUGCACACUUAACUGCUGUGCCAUCAGGCCAGCCCCUGGCCAUCUUCUUGCUGUGUUCUCACAUGGCCUUUCCUCUGUGCAUGCACACUUCUGGUGUCUCUUCUUCUUCUUUUAAGGAUACUAGUAUUAUCGUAUUAGGUCCCUGCCCUUAUGAUUUCAUUUAACCUUAGUUACCUCCUUAAAGGCCCUAUCUCUGAAUAGUCGCAUUGGAGGUUAAGGGUUUAAUAUAUGAAUUCUGGGGACACAAUUUCGUCUACAACACCUUCUCUCCCUCCCCUCCCACUUAGAUCAUCACAUGACUGAUGACUUUUCAUUAUUCAUGUCUUAUUUCCACUAUCACUGCUUCGGAGAGUUCCUCCUUGACUUUAGAUUAUUCCUGGUUUAUUGUAACUCUGCAGGACCAAGGAUGUGUGUGACUCUGUUGACUCAUUACGAAGAUCACUGUACCUAGAACUGUGCUUGGCACAUAUGAGGCACUGAAAAAACAUUUGCUGAAUGAGCGCAUUCUUCCACUGCUCUGGUUAUGGGGCACAGUUAUUUCUGGAUGGGACACACACUUUAUAACAGUACAUUUAUUGUGCCGUUUCUCAGACCUUCAUGAUCCUGAUGUUCACGAUCCAUGGUACUAUUCAGAGAGAACACAACAGCGUUAUUCGAAGUACACCACUGAGUAGAGGAACUGCUUUCUGAGGAGUUACAACCCAUUGUUAUUUAAAUAAGAUGGUGUGAUCACCAUGAAUAUCAGAAUGGGACCUUAUAGUUGUGAUUACCUGAAAUGUUCAGAAGGGUUAUCAAACAUGCUGCAGUGGUUACCUGUGGAGUAGUCUCUCUCUCCCCCUCACUCAUUCUAUCACUGUAUUUCUAUCUUUUCAAAGAAAAAAAUGAUUUUUUUUCUGGAACAGAUACAGUGCUCUUCACAAUUAAAUGUUAUUUCCAAAAAAGCUUAUAAAGUGAUGAUUUUUAAUAUGUUUACAGAUAUUAUUUGAUUUCAGUUUCUUGAAAAAGAUGGUGCAACUGAAAACAAUUAAAUGUGAUUUCUCAUAUAGCUGAAAACAACCAACUAGUAAAAUAUUUAUGUUCUUAUGAAUCAUAAUUAAAUGUAAACUUUGUCAUUUGAUAAUUUUGUUGAAUUGUCGGACUGAUAAAGGCCUUUUCCUUAAGUAUAAGCAUUAACCUCUGUCAGUAUUAUUUUUCCCUUUAAUUACCAAGUAUUAUAGACCCAGACAUUUAAAAUAAAGUAAAAACUAAAAGAAAGGUUAGAAAAUAUAUAUCACAAUUGCAGG